rnacentral:rRNA from 1 species
UACGGGGGGGGCAAGCGUUGUUCGGAAUUACUGGGCGUAAAGGGCGCGUAGGCGGCCAACUAAGUCAGACGUGAAAUCCCUCGGCUUAACCGGGGAACUGCGUCUGAUACUGGUUGGCUUGAGUUUGGGAGAGGGAUGCGGAAUUCCUGGUGUAGCGGUGAAAUGCGCAGAUAUCAGGAGGAACACCGGUGGCGAAGGCGGUUCUCUGGGCAUUACCUGACGCUGAGGAGCGAAAGCGUGGGGAGCAAACAGG